rnacentral:sRNA from 1 species
AAUUUGUUAACUCGUACCUUAAUUUAGAUAUAAUUUAAUACGACACAGAGGCCGAUAUAAUGGUGUACCUGUUUCUGGCGUGAAGCACAAUCGGCCAUCAGCUGAAUCUAAGUGUUACGGCAGUAUGUCCCACAGUCAUCAGAAGUAACAAAGUACUGAUGAAGUUUUUCAUAUACGUACAUUUGCAGGGCAAAUGUAGCGCCGAACCGAGCGGUCUUACAACAACCUUUCAUGAUUUCAGUUUCCAUAUUUGUUCCUCACAUUUUGAAAAUGAUGACGAAUUUCAAGUCAACCGAUUAUUUACACAUCAUAAAUUUAAACAUUCUGAACAAAUAAUACACAUUAUAAAAUCCAAAUAAUCACAAUCACAUAUACAAGUGUAGCGCCGCACCGAGUGGUCUUACAAUACCUUUAAUUCUUCACAUUUGAAAAUAGACGCCGAAUUUCUAGUCUACAGUUUAUUACACAUCACAAAUAUAAACAUUCCGAACAAAUAAUCCUCAGUAUAAAAUCCAAGUAAACACAAUCACAUAUACACGUAAAUCCAAAACAUAGACGAAUUUAAAAAUCCAAUUCCUAAGUGAGUCGUAUCUAAGUAAGUUCUGCGACUAAGUACAUGUAAGUUCUAAGUAAGUGUCUUCUGUCCUAUACUAUUGUCGCGCUAUGUAUACCAGAGAUCCGCCCCUGACGAUCAGGAGCACUUUUUAGGAUCCUAACUAUCAGGAGUCGAUACACUGUAUAAUUAUAUAAUUAAUGGUCAGUGUGGAGUCAGCAGGAGGUGAGAUUAGAGGGACGAUUAAGAAACUGAUAAGAUUUACAGCCUAAAUGAAGAUAAUGUGUAAACAAUUAAUGAAAAAUUAUAUCAAUGAAGAUAAGAUAUUAAACCGUUACAACUCCCCUGCCGUAAGAUUUGACUCCGUUUAAAUAUAAAGAUAGCACCUAACAAAAU